rnacentral:rRNA from 1 species
AGAUUGAACGCUAGCGGGAUGCUUUACACAUGCAAGUCGAACGGCAGCGCGGACUUCGGUCUGGCGGCGAGUGGCGAACGGGUGAGUAAUAUAUCGGAACGUGCCCAGUAGCGGGGGAUAACUACGCGAAAGCGUGGCUAAUACCGCAUACGCCCUACGGGGGGAAAGGGGGGAUCGCAAGACCUCUCACUAUUGGAGCGGCCGAUAUCAGAUUAGCUUAGUUGGUGAGGUAAAGGCUCACCAAGGCGACGAUACUGUAGCUUGGUUUGAGAGGACGACC